rnacentral:tRNA from 1 species
GCCCCCAUCGUCUAGCGGCCCAGGAUAUCAGGUUCUCAUCCUGAAGACCGGGGUUCGAGUCCCCGUGGGGGUA